GAUGUCCCCCCGGAUGGCCACCCUCAUCCACACCAAGGCGGUGACGGGCAGCUCGUGCUGCGCCCUGCCCUGCAGCGAGGACGUGUCAGAGGAGCUGAGCGAGGAGGAGAGCGGCAUCGCGCGGAGAGCCCAGCGCGCGGCGCUGGAGGUGCUGGAGGACGCGCUGAGGAAGGAGCGGGUGCUGAUGAGGAACCUGAAGGACGUGGUGGUGCUGGCCGGGGAGGGCCAGGGGGGCGAGGGCUGGGUGGAGCGCUACGCCAUGCUCACCAAGAAGCUGCUGCGCAGCCUCGUCUCCCAGCUGCAGCAGGCGGCUUUCCGCAAAAACCCCCGCCGCGCCGGCUCCUACGCCUACGUCAAGAAGAACGCCUGCGACCGCACCAUCUACCUCUGCCCCCUCUUCUGGCAGGCCCCCAGCGAGCUGGAGAAGGACUCGCAGCCCGGGACGCUCAUCCACGAGGCAUCGCACUUCCUGGGCUUGCACGACAUCACCUACGCCACGGCCAGCUUUCGGGCCGGGGGCGGCGGCGCGGCCAUCUGGACCGAGCGGCGCGUGCCCCUCUUCGAGGCCCUGCGGAAGGCGCUGCUCAACGCCAACAGCAUCGAGUACGAGUUCGAGAUCGUGCUGAGGCACCGGCAGCCCUACCGGGCCGGGCGCUACGCCUGCUGCGGGGAGACAGCCAGGAACUCCGUCUGCGAGAACGCCCUGCCCCACGGGGGGCUCUCCUGCGGGGCCCCCGAGAGCCCCGCAGCCAGCCGGAGCACCAUCGGGGACACGGUGCGCCUGUCCCUGCUGCCCGCCCGGGACGCCAUGCGGAGCUGCCUGCAGGACAUGCGGCGCGCGGCGGAGGCCACGGAGCGGUGCCACCGGGCGGCGGCGGUGGCCAACGUCACCGGCGGGGUGCUGGGGGUGACGGGGGGGGCCACGGCCAUCGCGGGGCUGCUGCUGGCCCCCACGGCGCUGGGCACGGCGCUGCUGCUGUCGGCCGUGGGCUUCGGCGUCUCGCUGCUCGGGAGCCUCGUCGGUGCCACCGCCACCGUCAGCGACAGCCUGGGGUGCCUGGCGAGGAAGGACGGGGCGGAGGCGCUGCUGGAGGAGUUCGGGGCGCAGGAGGAGGUGUUCACGGGCAGCCGGGAGCACGUGGAGAGGGCGCGGAGGCUGCUGGAGGUGCUGGGGAAGGACGAGAGCCUGGACGUCAUCCUGGGGGUGUUCAGGGUGGUGACAGGGCUGGGGCGCAGCGUCCUCAACGGCAGCAGUGUGGCCAGGGCCAGCGCAGCGCUGGCUGGGGCCAGCCGUGCCGUGAGCCUCACCGGGACGGCCGCAGCAGCUCCUCCUCGGCCUCUCCUUGGCCCUGGACAUCUUUUUUGUCACCAAGGACUCGGCUCACCUGUCCCGCGGCGCGCGGGCAGAGCUGGCGGGGAGCAUCCGCGCGGCGGCAGGCGUGCUGGAGAGGGACUUCGGUGUCAUCGACGAGUUCUGCCAGAAAAUAAACCUCAUUCUGGAGGAGCAGGAGUGAGGCUGGGCGCAAGGAAAGGCCGAGCCUCACACCUGGCUGCUCUGGGAAGGCUGCCAGCGAGGCGAUGGGAUGCGCCCCAGGAGCCCUCUGAGAGCGUGGUGUGUGACCCAGCACGGAGCCCAGGGCGAGCUGUUCUCACCUGCCCCUAUCCUGCUCCCACGGCCAGCCCCAAACCCGGUGCCAUGGCCCCAGCGGCCCCAUCCACGGGCCAGGCUGCCAAAAAACCCUUCCAGAAGUGCCACAAGGUGUGUAAUUUGCUCUUAGCUCACCCGAGCAGGGGGUGGUUCAGGGCUUGGGUAGUGCAUGGCUCUAAGUACGCCAACAGCUCUACCUCGGUGUGGGUAAACAGCGAGGAGACAGCAGCUCCAUGCAGACCGCCUUGCCACAACUAAAUGACAGCCCAGGGUUUCUUUUCGCAGCCAACUUCCUCUGACGCUAGUUUGCUUUACAUUAGCAUCGGGUACUCCUCCAGCGUGUGAUCAAACGAGGCUCCUGGGUCUGCUCUCGGGAGAAUAAAUGUAUCUGUAACGCACCU
rnacentral:lncRNA from 1 species